rnacentral:rRNA from 1 species
CCUACGGGAGGCAGCAGUGGGGGAUAUUGGACAAUGGGGGUAACCCUGAUCCAGCGACGCCGCGUGAGUGAAGAAGUAUUUCGGUAUGUAAAGCUCUGUCAGCAGGGAAGAAAGAAAUGACGGUACCUGACCAAGAAGCCCCGGCUAACUACGAGCCAGCCGCCGCGGUAAUACGUAGGGGGCAAGCGUUAUCCGGAAUUACUGGGUGUAAAGGGAGAGUAGACGGUUAAGUAAGUCUGGAGUGAAAGGCCGGGGACCAACCCCGGGACUGCUCUGGAAACUAUUGAACUUGAGUGCAGGAGAGGUAAGCGGAAUUCCUAGUGUAGCGGUGAAAUGCGUAGAUAUUAGGAGGAACACCAGUGGCGAAGGCGGCUUACUGGACUGUAACUGACGUUGAGGCUCGAAAGCGUGGGGAGCAAACAGGAUUAGAUACCCGAGUAGUC